rnacentral:rRNA from 1 species
AUUGAACGCUGGCGGCAUGCUUUACACAUGCAAGUCGAACGGCAGCGCGGGCUUCGGCCUGGCGGCGAGUGGCGAACGGGUGAGUAAUGCAUCGGAACGUGCCCAGUAGUGGGGGAUAGCCCGGCGAAAGCCGGAUUAAUACCGCAUACGACCUGAGGGUGAAAGCGGGGGACCGAAAGGCCUCGCGCUAUUGGACCGGCCGAUGUCGGAUUAGCUAGUUGGUGGGGUAAAGGCUUACCAAGGCGACGAUCCGUAGCUGGUCUGAGAGGACGACCAGCCACACUGGGACUGAGACACGGCCCAGACUCCUACGGGAGGCAGCAGUGGGGAAUUUUGGACAAUGGGGGCAACCCUGAUCCAGCCAUGCCGCGUGCGGGAAGAAGGCCUUCGGGUUGUAAACCGCUUUUGUUCGGGAAGAAAUCCUCUGGGCUAAUACCCCGGGGGGAUGACGGUACCGGAAGAAUAAGCACCGGCUAACUACGUG